UACGUAGGGGGCAAGCGUUGUCCGGAAUCAUUGGGCGUAAAGCGCGUGUAGGCGGCUCGGAAAGUCUGGUGUGAAAUCCUGCGGCUCAACCGCAGACUGUCACUGGAUACUGUCGAGCUUGAGUCCGGAAGAGGAGUGUGGAAUUCCUGGUGUAGCGGUGGAAUGCGCAGAUAUCGGGAGGAACACCCGUGGCGAAGGCGGCCAUCUGGACCAGCACUGACGCUGAGGCACGAAAGCGUGGGGAGCAAACAGG
rnacentral:rRNA from 1 species